UACGUAGGGUGCGAGCGUUGUCCGGAUUUAUUGGGCGUAAAGAGCUCGUAGGCGGUCUGUCACGUCGAUUGUGAAAACUCGGGGCUCAACCCCGGGCCUGCAGUCGAUACGGGCAGACUAGAGUGUGGUAGGGGAGACUGGAAUUCCUGGUGUAGCGGUGAAAUGCGCAGAUAUCAGGAGGAACACCGGUGGCGAAGGCGGGUCUCUGGGCCACAACUGACGCUGAGGAGCGAAAGCGUGGGGAGCGAACGGG
rnacentral:rRNA from 1 species